ACAAAAUGAACAGUGACGCGACCAUUGUACCCCUCUCUUGCCUGAUGUUUUACGAAACUGUCCCUCCAGCUGUUCAAUUUUUGUGGCACCGAUUGGCUUCGGCCUGGUAGUCUGGCACUGUGUCUUUGCUCCACAGACGUGUGUGACAGAGAGAGUGAGGGGCUCUACUUUCAUGCAGAAAGAGAGUGAGAGACACAUAGCCAAGGGAGUAGAGGAAAAAGUUCCAAUUUUCUUUCAUAUUGCAAGAACAGCAACAUCCAAUAUGAAACUUUCCGUUCGAUAUCUCUGGCGCAGAAAGAGGCUCCUCCAGACAUGCAAUGCAUGGACACUUAGUUUCUCCUUCAGAGUGUAAAAACCAAUGAUGGUGCAACUCCAAAGGAUAUUACUCCAGAAGUGGAAGAACGUGAGUUCCUUAUUCUGUCAACUAUGGUAUGAUGGCAUGAACCAUCAUGUUUUUACAAUUGGAACGUGUGAAGAUUCGAUAUUGUGAUGGAGGUUCACCUGCUGGAGAUGCAGUAUAUAAGAAUUGCAUGUGAAUGCGCGUGUGAAAUGAAUGACAGACAUCGUUGCUCUAUUUCAGAGGGUAAAAGCUUUGGGAAGCCAUCAUUCUUGAUCUUCUACCUAAAGGUUUAGGAAAGGCGUAUAAGGUAAAGCGAUCUCUAAUUUUGCUACGUAUAUAUUGAUCCUACAUGCUGCUAUUCAGAUGCUUAUUAUUCCAUCUCUUUUCUAGGCUUAGUUAUCAGGUUGCUCUGAACAUGAUGAUUUAUUUAAGUAUGCAAAUCAAUUUAGUUAGACUGCAGGCUGACUUUCUUAACAUAUCAAGUGCAUGUUCCUACAUAUUAAGCUUCUAUGGACUAUUAUAUUUUUCUUUUUGGAAUCUGUAAUGUCAUCUCAGACACCGGUUGACAAAUUUUAAGCUUUCUUAAUCACUAUACCUUAUACAGUAUUUGUAUUGCCGACCCAGAA